UACAGAGGUCUCAAGCGUUGUUCGGAUUCAUUGGGCGUAAAGGGCUCGUAGGCGGUUUGUCGCGUCGGGAGUGAAAACACCGGGCUUAACUCGGUGCUUGCUUUCGAUACGGGCAGACUGGAGGUAUGCAGGGGAGAACGGAAUUCCUGGUGUAGCGGUGAAAUGCGCAGAUAUCAGGAGGAACACCGGUGGCGAAGGCGGUUCUCUGGGCAUUACCUGACGCUGAGGAGCGAAAGUGUGGGGAGCGAACAGG
rnacentral:rRNA from 1 species